UACGUAGGGGGCUAGCGUUGUCCGGAAUCAUUGGGCGUAAAGCGCGUGUAGGCGGUCCGGUAAGUCCGCUGUGAAAGUCGGGGGCUCAACCCUCGGAUGCCGGUGGAUACUGUCGGGCUAGAGUGCGGAAGAGGCGAGUGGAAUUCCUGGUGUAGCGGUGAAAUGCGCAGAUAUCGGGAAGAACACCCGUGGCGAAGGCGGCUCUCUGGGACGGUACUGACGCUGAGACGCGAAAGCGUGGGGAGCGAACAGG
rnacentral:rRNA from 1 species